AGCGAACGCUGGCGGCAGGCCUAACACAUGCAAGUCGAACGAAGUCUUCGGACUUAGUGGCGGACGGGUGAGUAACACGUGGGAACGUGCCUUUAGGUUCGGAAUAACUCAGGGAAACUUGUGCUAAUACCGAAUGUGCCCUUCGGGGGAAAGAUUUAUCGCCUUUAGAGCGGCCCGCGUCUGAUUAGCUAGUUGGUGAGGUAAAGGCUCACCAAGGCGACGAGCAGUAGCUGGUCUGAGAGGAUGAUCAGCCACAUUGGGACUGAGACACGGCCGAAACUCCUACGGGAGGCAGCAGUGGGGAAUCUUGCGCAAUGGGCGAAAGCCUGACGCAGCCGUGCCGCGUGAAUGAUGAAGGUCUUAGGAUUGUAAAAUUCUUUCACCGGGGACGAUAAUGACGGUACCCGGAGAAGAAGCCCCGGCUAACUUCGUGCCAGCAGCCGCCGCCGUAA
rnacentral:rRNA from 1 species